CAACCUUCCUUUUGUGGUCAUAAACCUUGUGUUAAAAUUUCAUAGAUUUCCAUUCACUUUUACUAAAGUUAGAGUGCGAAAACUAAAAGUAUUCGGACGCCGGACGACGACGACGACGACGACGACGACGACGCAGACGCCAACGUGAUAGCAAUAUACGACGAAAAAUUUUUCAAAUUUUGCGGUCGUAUAAAAACCUUUCAUGACAUAACACCAACAUGCCCAAAACUUGUCCUGGGUUUAAAAUGAAGUACACAUCUAUAGAGCCUAUUCCAAUUUUCUAAAGAAAGUUGUACUAUGUCUAUGAAACACUGCUUAUGAGCAUGUCAGCAUCCUGUUUUUAAGGCUCUUUUAGGGAAUAUAUUAAUUUGAACACCAAACUUAUGCUAAUUUCUGAGCAUCUGGACGGGGUCUCUCCAUUUUAUAUUCUCAACUUUUUUCUGUAUUUUUUUUAUAUCUUUACAUCCAAUUAUGCUCUGUUCUUUAUUUUUUUUUGGCCUAUAUUUCUCUAUUCUUAACUUUUUUCCAUUUCCAUUAACCCCAUCUAGAAUCUCACCUCUGUGAAUCCCCAUCCAGACCCCCAUUUCUGUUAAACCCCUUUCCAGAUCCUCAUUUCUGUUAAACCCCAUCUACACCCUAAUUUCUGGUAAACCCCAUUCAGACCUCCAAUUCUGUUAAACCCCGUAAAAACCUUUCCAAAAACCUAAUUUCUGUAAAUCAGUCUAUUCUGGAAUAGUCCCAGUUGCACCAAACACUUGUCAACACUCAUGGCAUACGAAAUCAGCACUUUACUGCACCAAAUACCAAAUAGAAAGAAAUAAAAAUAUCUGCAUAAUAAUCAUCAACUUUAAGCACCAAUACUGCAAUAUCUUAUCUUUAACAAAAAUACUGUUAAACUUUUUAAUCUAUCCUUAUAACAUACAUGUACAAAACAAACAAAUGUACUGUACAAGUCUAUUCACAUAACAUACAUGUACAUUGUAUACAUGUACAGUGUAUACAUGUCCAUAAAAACUACUGUGUUGUACAAAACCAUCCUCAUAACAUACAUGUACAUUGUAUACAUGUACUUAACAAACUAUCACUGCAUUUUCAAUUUUCUACUUGUUCUUAUCUUUUCACUGUGUAGAUAUACAGCCAAAAUUUUAACUUGUCCUAACUUACUGUGAACUUAUUGUGAGUCAGUGGUUCUCAGGUUUUUUAUCUGACAACUUGAUUAAAAUAUAGUUUGCAAAGUUAAUCAUGUGGUAAACAAAACCUAUUUCAGAAUAGUUUGAUAACCUUACCAAAAAUAAUAUAUAUUAUGAAAUAUUAAAGACAGAGUAACAGUUUUAGUUAUCUAAUAAUUUGUUUAAUAAACAUAAAAUGCAAGACUUGACAACAAAAACACUGAAAACAACUGCAUUUAACAAGAAUCAAAAUUUGACCUUGGGUAAAAAGUAUACAGCAC
rnacentral:lncRNA from 1 species